rnacentral:misc_RNA from 1 species
GCAAUCUUCAAGCAAUACUGGGAGAAAGUUGCGAGAUGAUCAUGUAGUACGGAAACGUAUACUUGGAAGCAGUCAAAUGCCACAUCGACUGUUGAGUCAGAAAUCUGUUUCUGUUAGUAAACAAACUCAACUAGCAUUAGAUUCCAGGAAACAACUGGGUAGCAGUAAAGGGAGUGAGCCUGGCCGGCCUUUGGGAGUGCAGCCCAAAAUCAUAGGUGGUCCAAACGGCAAGAGGGUUUUGACACCAUGCGUAAAGAGCACCGUGCCUGCUUUGCAUAAGUCAACCUCUUCAAAGUUGCAACCUUCUAUUCCAAGGCAAUACUUGGUA